rnacentral:rRNA from 1 species
AUGCUUGCACACAAGACGACCGCUUCGUCCUCCUUGCCUCGCGACCAAAAGCAGCAGCAAAAUCCCCUUGCAACUCACUCCGACCACGGGCACGCGGAAAAGGCUAACCCGAGGACGGCGAGCUCCGGCGAGAAAUUCGGAGCGUCCCCCGUAGCCUCGCCUGCUACAGUGCAGCUCCAAGAGCCGCCGGCAAUCCCUGCAUCACAAGACCAGGAGACACCGGGUGCUGCUCCAUGGCAACACCAAAGCACCGCAAAAAAGCUUCAAACGAAGCACAGACGACGCCUCCGGCGGCUUGACUGCAGCUUCGACGGCGCUUCAGUGCAGCCCCAGGCGGCUUUCCAUUGCAACUCCGUCAGCGGCGAGCGACGCUUCAUUGCAGCUCUGUGCACUGCAGUGCAUCACCAGCGGCGAGCGGCGCUCUAUUGCAACUCCGUCGGCGGCGAGCGGCGCUUCAGUGCAGCUCCGCGCGCUGCAAUGCAUCACCAGCGGCGAGCGGCGCUCUAUUGCAACUCUUCCGGCGGCGAGCGACGCUCCAUUGCAACUCCGUCGGCGGCGAGCGGCGCUCCAUUGCAGCUCCGCGUGCUGCACUGCAUCACCGGCGGCGAGCGGCGCUCGACUGUACUCCGGCCUUCGUGCUGCGUUGCAACACCGGCGGAGAGCAGCCCAACUUCGGCCUUCGUGCUGCGUUCCAACACAGGCGCCGCCGAGGGUCGCGUUGCAACGACGGCAGCACCGUCGAGUCGUCGGGUCGCAGCACCUGCAGCAUCCGAGUCAACGACAAGGGCGGCGUUACUGCGUCACGGCACCGGUGUGUGGAUCUUGAGGAGCAGGAGGUGGAGCUUGGGAAGCAGGCCAUGGCCGACGGGAGGCCAUGGAGAAGGGGAUUGA